rnacentral:rRNA from 1 species
AUUGAACGCUGGCGGAAUGCUUUACACAUGCAAGUCGAACGGCAGCACGGACUUCGGUCUGGUGGCGAGUGGCGAACGGGUGAGUAAUGUAUCGGAACGUGCCCAGUCGUGGGGGAUAACGUAGUGAAAAUUACGCUAAUACCGCAUACGAUCUAUGGAUGAAAGCGGGGGAUCGCAAGACCUCGCGCGAUUGGAGCGGCCGAUAUCAGAUUAGGUAGUUGGUGGGGUAAAGGCCCACCAAGCCAACGAUCUGUAGCUGGUCUGAGAGGACGACCAGCCACACUGGAACUGAGACACGGUCCAGGCUCCUACGGGAGGCAGCAGUGGGGAAUUUUGGACAAUGGGCGAAAGCCUGAUCCAGCCAUUCCGUGUGCAGGAUGAAGGCCCUCGGGUUGUAAACUGCUUUUGUACAGAACGAGAAGGUUUCUACUAAUACUAGGAGCUCAUGACGGUACUGUAAGAAUAAGCACCGGCUAACUACGUGCCAGCCGCCGCAGUAA